rnacentral:rRNA from 1 species
GAGCGAAGGACGUCAAGCCGUUUAUAUAUAAAGCUCUGAUUCAGCUCACUUAUGAUCCUUUUACUUUUUUAUAUGCAGCCACGUCACACCAGUAGGAUGUCAGUUUAUAAUGAAAAAAAAGAUUACAUAAAAAUGAUUCGAACGUAAUCAUACGCAUGAUCCACACGUGGACCUAUUCAAUGAUUCGAUUAAAUAGGAAGUGCACGGGAGAGGGAAAGAGAUUUGAUUCUGAUAGAGAGAGAAGGGACAUGAUCAAUACAUGAUCAUCAGGAGUUGGCUUGUCUCGUGGGUGAUCAUGAUGAUCAGGUCGCUCUUGUGUUCAUUAUUAUGUCUGACUACGAGGAGACGAGGAACGGGUCUAGCCGCGGUGGCGGUCGCUGCCCUUUCUACGGCGACGAUCUAGGAGGUGCGAGAGAGAGGGGACUGCACUUAGGGGUAUAAUAGGGGUACUUAAAGUCGGAGUUGAGAGAUUAGGGGGAGACACACACACAAGAAAACCGAACGUCCAGUUUGGGAUAACCCCUACACUAAAGGGACGAGGUCUAACUUCACCAACCGCAACCCGCGGCGGCACUACGACCUACCACGUCCAGUCUCGAGGUCACGCACAGGCACCUCGUCUAGGUGGUACCCACGUCUUGACUUACCAGGAACAGGACUCGAACGCCAGAAGUUGAAGAUUCUAGAAGUUACCAGCAAGAAGUAUGCAGUCCCAGAAAACCUCUACCCACUACGGGGUGCGUAAUUUUGUUACAACUUGAGAUUGAGGGAUAGUCCGCCGUAUGGGCCGUCAAGUAGGCCUUUAUGUAGUCCUUUGAGUGUUUGAUGUCCAGACGACUUUUAAACCACAACACCUAAUAAUAACCAACUAAAGACGCGUAACGGAGAUGACAUUAGAAGGGAGGUCUAGCCGCGGCGGCGGUCGCUGCCCUUUCUACGGCGACGAUCUAGGAGGUGUGUGAGAGAGGGGACUGCACUUAGGGGUAUAAUAGGGGUACUUAAAGUCGGAGUUGAGAGAUUAGGGGGAGACACACACACAAGAAAACCGAACGUCCAGUUUGGGAUAACCCCUACACUAAAGGGACGAGGUCUAACUUCACCAACCGCAACCCGCGGCGGCACUACGACCUACCACGUCCAGUCUCGAGGUCACGCACAGGCACCUCGUCUAGGUGGCACCCACGUCCCCUUACCUUUACGAUGACUCUUCUUCUUCUCUCGAACCAGACCGAUAAACCUUCGUCUCACUUCUCACACGAUGCCACUUUGGAAUCGGUCUCCUCCUUAGCCCACGCUGUCCGCGACAGGAUACUGUCUUGCUAUUUCCGGCGAAAUAACGACGUGUUACGUCUAAGUAAGUACAAACGUCGUAUACAUCGCUGCCAACUCCGAUACCGUUACGCACUACCAAAUUUAAAACGUUCGUGAAAACCAAAAACUGUCUUGACUUCGCCUCAGGAUAAGGAACUCACACCACUUGAUGACGGUUUCACGGUUCCCGUUUUAGUCACCACCCUACGUUGUCGCCGU